CCUACGGGGGGCUGCAGUGGGGAAUUUUCCGCAAUGGGCGAAAGCCUGACGGAGCAAGACCGCGUGAGGGAGGAAGGCUCUUGGGUUGUAAACCUCUUUUCUCUGGGAAGAAGCUCUGACGGUACCAGAGGAAUCAGCAUCGGCUAACUCCGUGCCAGCAGCCGCGGUAAUACGGAGGAUGCAAGCGUUAUCCGGAAUUAUUGGGCGUAAAGCGUCCGUAGGUGGCGGUUCAAGUCUGCCGUUAAAACCAGUAGCUUAACUACUGACAGGCGGUGGAAACUGAACAGCUAGAGUGUGGUAGGGGUAGAGGGAAUUCCCAGUGUAGCGGUGAAAUGCGUAGAGAUUGGGAAGAACACCGGUGGCGAAAGCGCUCUGCUGGACCACAACUGACACUGAGGGACGAAAGCUAGGGGAGCGAAUGGGAUUAGAUACCCCUGUAGUC
rnacentral:rRNA from 1 species